UACGGAGGGUGCAAGCGUUAUCCGGAUUUACUGGGUUUAAAGGGUGCGUAGGUGGGUCUGUAAGUCAGUGGUGAAAUCUCCGAGCUUAACUCGGAAACUGCCAUUGAUACUAUAGAUCUUGAAUUAUCUGGAGGUAAGCGGAAUGUGUCAUGUAGCGGUGAAAUGCUUAGAUAUGACAUAGAACACCAAUUGCGAAGGCAGCUUACUACGGAUCGAUUGACACUGAGGCACGAAAGCGUGGGGAUCAAACAGG
rnacentral:rRNA from 1 species